ACUCUGGUAUUGAUUGGUGCUUGCAUCAUGAUUUACAUUUGAGUGAGUGGCGAACUGGUGAGUAACACGUGGGAAACCUGCCCAGAAGCGGGGGAUAACACCUGGAAACAGAUGCUAAUACCGCAUAACAACUUGGACCGCAUGGUCCGAGCUUGAAAGAUGGCUUCGGCUAUCACUUUUGGAUGGUCCCGCGGCGUAUUAGCUAGAUGGUGGGGUAACGGCUCACCAUGGCAAUGAUACGUAGCCGACCUGAGAGGGUAAUCGGCCACAUUGGGACUGAGACACGGCCCAAACUCCUACGGGAGGCAGCAGUAGGGAAUCUUCCACAAUGGACGAAAGUCUGAUGGAGCAACGCCGCGUGAGUGAAGAAGGGUUUCGGCUCGUAAAACUCUGUUGUUAAAGAAGAACAUAUCUGAGAGUAACUGUUCAGGUAUUGACGGUAUUUAACCAGAAAGCCACGGCUAACUACGUGCCAGCAGCCGCGGUAAUACGUAGGUGGCAAGCGUUGUCCGGAUUUAUUGGGCGUAAAGCGAGCGCAGGCGGUUUUUUAAGUCUGAUGUGAAAGCCUUCGGCUCAACCGAAGAAGUGCAUCGGAAACUGGGAAACUUGAGUGCAGAAGAGGACAGUGGAACUCCAUGUGUAGCGGUGAAAUGCGUAGAUAUAUGGAAGAACACCAGUGGCGAAAGCGGCUGUCUGGUCUGUAACUGACGCUGAGGCUCGAAAGUAUGGGUAGCAAACAGGAUUAGAUACCCUGGUAGUCCAUACCGUAAACGAUGAAUGCUAAGUGUUGGAGGGUUUCCGCCCUU
rnacentral:rRNA from 2 species